ACCCGCUGAACUUAAGCAUAUCAAUAAGCGGAGGAAAAGAAACCAACAGGGAUUGCUCUAGUAACGGCGAGUGAAGCAGCAAUAGCUCAAAUUUGAAAUCUGGCGUCUUCGACGUCCGAGUUGUAAUUUGUAGAGGAUGCUUCUGAGUGGCCACCGACCUAAGUUCCUUGGAACAGGACGUCAUAGAGGGUGAGAAUCCCGUAUGCGGUCGGAAAGGCGCUCUAUACGUAGCUCCUUCGACGAGUCGAGUUGUUUGGGAAUGCAGCUCUAAAUGGGAGGUAAAUUUCUUCUAAAGCUAAAUAUUGGCCAGAGACCGAUAGCGCACAAGUAGAGUGAUCGAAAGAUGAAAAGCACUUUGGAGAGAGAGUUAAAAAGCACGUGAAAUUGUUAAAAGGGAAGGGAUUGCAACCAGACUUGCUCGCGGUGUUCCGCCGGUCUUCUGACCGGUCUACUCGCCGCGUUGCAGGCCAGCAUCGUCUGGUGCCGCUGGAUAAGACUUGAGGAAUGUAGCUCCCUCGGGAGUGUUAUAGCCUCUUGUGAUGCAGCGAGCGCCGGGCGAGGUCCGCGCUUCGGCUAGGAUGCUGGCGUAAUGGUCGUAAUCCGCCCGUCUUGAAACACGGACCAAGGAGUCUAACAUCUAUGCGAGUGUUCGGGUGUCAAACCCCUACGCGUAAUGAAAGUGAACGGAGGUGAGAACCGCAAGGUGCAUCAUCGACCGAUCCUGAUGUCUUCGGAUGGAUUUGAGUAAGAGCAUAGCUGUUGGGACCCGAAAGAUGGUGAACUAUGCCUGAAUAGGGUGAAGCCAGAGGAAACUCUGGUGGAGGCUCGCAGCGGUUCUGACGUGCAAAUCGAUCGUCAAAUUUGGGUAUAGGGGCGAAAGACUAAUCGAACCAUCUAGUAGCUGGUUCCUGCCGAAGUUUCCCU
rnacentral:rRNA from 1 species